rnacentral:lncRNA from 1 species
AUGAAUUAUACUAUGCAGAGAAAAGAUAUUACUCAGAAAUUAUCUGGAGUUGAGAGAAACCAGCAAGGCUUUAAAAGACCUUUUAAGAGUUACUUUAGAGGUGGCAGAUUCCAGCCCCAAUAUAAAUCAGACCUGGUACAGAAGAGCUUAUACAUUCAGGCCAAAUAUCAGCGUUUACGAUUUGCUGGUCCAAGGGGAUUUAUCACUAAUAAAUUCAGGGACAGGUCACCAAGGAAAGAAAAGGAAUAUACAAACAUUGCCACAGAAACCUAAUCUGGAAUUGUUGCAAAUGGAAAUGCCACUACAGGAGGAUAUUUGGGAGCAUCUCUUUUUGUCAGGAGUUAGAAUUGGCACUAAGGCACUAAUACUGUAACUUUUCUUGAUAAAAUAACUAUUUUUCAGUAGUGGAAUGUUGCAACUUUUUUACACUUAACAAUUGCUUUUAAAUUACAGUAUUCAAUUUAAAGGUUGUAUUAACUACCGUUCCUUUUGCAAAAAGUUUGAUUAGAAUCACUUGAAGGGCAUUAUUUGCUGAUGCAUUUUUCUCUGAGCAUGGUUUCAUCUAGAGAACUUAACCAAGUUAUAUCCAGAUGUUUAUAUGUUCAAAGUUUUGUUUAUGUAAUAAAGCCAAAAGUAUCUGAAUUGUAUAGUGUCUGUACAUGAAAGAACUUUAAGCAGUGGCCUUACAGUAGUAAUUUUUAUACCAAGUUUUUCUUUUUCUGAUAACAUUUUGGCUUAUAACGAAGUUUUCUUAAGUUUCUGAAGAUCAAGGCCUGUAUAAUUCAUACAUUUCAUAUUAUAAUAAGGCUAGAGAAAAGGUGCUUCAAAUUUUCCGUCAAGUAGUUGUGAAUGCACUGAAUUUUUAGUAAUAUGUUCAUUCAGUUUUUUUCCACAACUAUUUGCUGUUUUCCAGUUUCCAAAUGCUAUUGUGGAAAUAUGUAAAGAUUUUAUAACCUAUAUUCCAUCUUACUUUUCCCUCAGGGCAAGCUUGUGCAUAUCAUAUUUUUAAAGGCUUUUAAACAAUCUGACAGACAAAAACUCAUAUUUGAAAAUUGUACUUUACUACUACAGCAUUACACAUUUUGCAAGCACAUCUUAUAGACUGAGCAUUACACUUGCAAGCACAUCUUAUAGACUGUUUGUUUUCAGUUCAGUUAAUAUGUACCAUGUACCUACUAUGUGUAAGAUACAAUUGAUGGAAUUUUAAAUAAAAUGUUUAGAUCCCAGUACCUUAUUUCUUUAUGUUUUCUGUGUCUUACUUAACAGUACAUAUACAUUACCAACUAAAUUUUUGUGAAAUGUGUUUGUGUAAUAAAAUAUUGUUGCACUUUUUGCUUGAAGAAGUUACUUGGC